UACGUAAGUGGCGAGCGUUAUCCGGAAUCACUGGGCUUAAAGGGCGCGUAGGCGGGCUGCCAAGUCAGGGGUGAAAGCCCACGGCUCAACCGUGGAAGUGCCUUUGAUACUGGCGGCCUUGAGGGAGGUAGGGGCGUGCGGAACUUCCGGUGGAGCGGUGAAAUGCGUAGAUAUCAGGAGGAACACCCGAGGCGAAGGCGGCUCUCUGGGUCGUACCUGACGCUGAGGCGCGAAAGCGUGGGGAGCGAACGGG
rnacentral:rRNA from 1 species